UACGGGGGGGGGCAAGCGUUGUUCGGAAUUACUGGGCGUAAAGGGCUCGUAGGCGGCCAACUAAGUCGGACGUGAAAUCCCUCGGCUUAACCGGGGAACUGCGUCCGAUACUGGAUGGCUUGAGUUUGGGAGAGGGAUGCGGAAUUCCAGGUGUAGCGGUGAAAUGCGUAGAUAUCUGGAGGAACACCGGUGGCGAAGGCGGCAUCCUGGACCAAUUCUGACGCUGAGGAGCGAAAGCCAGGGGAGCAAACGGG
rnacentral:rRNA from 1 species